CCUACGGGGGGCUGCAGUGAGGAAUAUUGGUCAAUGGACGAGAGUCUGAACCAGCCAAGUAGCGUGAAGGAUGACUGCCCUAUGGGUUGUAAACUUCUUUAGGCGGGGAGCAAUGCCGGGCACGCGUGCCCGGAGGGAGAGUACCCGCAGAAUAAGCAUCGGCUAACUCCGUGCCAGCAGCCGCGGUAAUCCGGAGGAUGCGAGCGUUAUCGGGAUUUAGUGGGUUUAAAGGGUGCGUAGGCGGAUUUUUAAGUCAGCGGUAAAAUGUCCGGGCUCAACCCGGGCCGGCCGUUGAAACUGGGGAUCUUGAGUGGGCGAGAAGUAUGCGGAAUGCGUGGUGUAGCGGUGAAAUGCAUAGAGAUCACGCAGAACUCCGAUUGCGAAGGCAGCAUACCGGCGCCCGACUGACGCUGAGGCACGAAAGCGUGGGGAUCGAACAGGAUUAGAUACCCGAGUAGUC
rnacentral:rRNA from 1 species